CAGCCGCGGUAAUACGUAGGCAGCGAGCGUUGUUCGGAAUUACUGGGCGUAAAGAGUGUGUAGGCGGUGUCCUAAGUUCGGUGUGAAAUCUCCUGGCUUAACUGGGAGGGUGCGCCGGAAACUGGGAUGCUCGAGCGUGGGAGAGGAAAGCGGAAUUCCUGGUGUAGCGGUGAAAUGCGUAGAUAUCAGGAGGAACACCUGCGGUGUAGACGGCUUUCUGGACCAUAGCUGACGCUGAGACACGAAAGCGUGGGUAGCAAACAGGAUUAGAUACCCUGGUAGUCCACGCCCUAAACGAUGCAUACUUGGUGUCGGCCAUCCAGUUGGUCGGUGCCGGAGCUAACGCGUUAA
rnacentral:rRNA from 1 species